UGGGGAUUGGUGUAAUGGUAGCACGAAGGUUUCUGGUUCCUUUAGUCCAAGUUCGAGUCUUGGAUCCCCAG
rnacentral:tRNA from 1 species